GGCACUGGAAGGUCCCUAAACCGAAAGGGGCUCUGCCCGCCCGAGGAUGGGCCGGCGGCCGAUUAGGUAGUUGGUGGGGUAACGGCCCACCAAGCCCAUAAUCGGUACGGGCAGUGAGAGCUGGAGCCCGGAGAUGGACACUGAGACACGGGUCCAGGCCCUACGGGGCGCAGCAGGCGCGAAACCUCCGCAAUGCUCGAAAGAGCGACGGGGGGACCCCAAGUGCCGUGGUACAACCACGGCUUUUCCGGAGUGUAAGAAGCUCCGGGAAUAAGGGCUGGGCAAGGCCGGUGGCAGCCGCCGCGGUAAUACCGGCGGCCCGAGUGGUGGCCACUAUUAUUGGGCCUAAAGCGUCCGUAGCCGGGCUUGUAAGUCCCUGGCGAAAUCCCACGGCUCAACCGUGGGGCUUGCUGGGGAUACUGCAAGCCUUGGGACCGGGAGAGGCCGGGGGUACUCCUGGGGUAGGGGUGAAAUCCUAUAAUCCCAGGAGGACCGCCAGUGGCGAAGGCGCCCGGCUGGAACGGGUCCGACGGUGAGGGACGAAGGCCAGGGGAGCAAACCGGAUUAGAUACCCGGGUAGUCCUGGCUGUAAAGGAUGCGGGCUAGGUGUUGCUUGGACCUCGAGUCCAAGCAGUGCCGCAGG
rnacentral:rRNA from 1 species